UUUUGUCAAUUUCUUUUGAUCUUCUUGUUCCUUCACUGUGAUUUCUUCUUUUUCAGAUUUUUUCAUCACUUCUUCCAAAUUUUACUUCUUCUAUUUUUAAAUAAUUUUUUCUUCGAUUUAAAUCUUCAAUUUCUUCUACAUCAUAACAUAUCAUUAAGGAGUUUAGUGAAGCCUUCAGUCAAAAUAAAAUGAUAUUGGCUCCAUGGUGUAAUGAAGAGGUAUCUUCAGUGUUUCUUGCCAUUUUGAUUCUAGUUAUGUUGUUUAUAAUGGACUGUCUACUUUUCUAACUUAUCGUGAGCCCAACAUAAUUUUAUUUGAUUUUUGAAGAGUUGAUUAUAACUAAAUCUUUUUUCCCCAAGUUCUCAAUACAUUUUCAUAUGCUGAAAUCUAUUUUGUUUUGUGGAGCUUGUUGUCUUCGCUAGGAAGACUUUGCCGCUCGUCUUGGCUGCUGCAACUUCAUAUAAUAUUUCCAUAUUUUGAAUUGUCAUGAUCACUGGCAUUAGUUAAUGCAUUUUCAACUUCAUUUUUUAGUGGCAUAACCAAUAUAGAUAUUUGAUAAAAUGUUGGUAUGUGAACCUAUUUUAAUUGAGAUUGUUGUAUUUUUGUUUAAGUUCUAGAAUCUAAGUUUGUUGUUGAAGCCAAGUUCAUAACAAGGUCAUUGAGUUUCAAACUUCUUUAAUCAUAUGUUUGUGUUUCUUAAACUAUAAUUGUAGUCUUGUAAUUUUUGGAAUAACAAUAGUUUGAUUGGAUUGUAGUCUUAUUUGAUUGGUAUAUUAUUGAGAUUAGAUUUAUUAUAGCUAGAUAUUUUUUUAGAUAAGUUACUUAAUUAGGAUGUUGAGUUGAAUUUGUUGCCAAUCUGAUGAAAUUAUUUAUAUUGUUUUUGUCAAUGACUUGAAAUAUUCAUAUAUAUAUAUAUAUAUAUAUAUAUAGUUUUGGAAAUGAUUAUAUACAUAUAUGGUGAAAGGUUAUAUUUAUAUAUGUUCAAGUUUUGAAACUAUAUUUGAUGAAUAUCGUCGUUCAUAUAUAUUUAUAAAACUGUUGGACCACUAUACAGGACAAUAGGAGCACAAUAAAAUAAAAUAUAAUAGAAUUAUAUAUUUUUAAAAAAAAAUUGAAACAAGCUUGAUAGUUUUUAAAUCAUAAAAAUAAUACAUUCUUGACGGUUUUAAAAUAUCAUAAACAAAUGCAUUUUUGACGGGUUUUCAAUGUCAUAAACAAUCAAUUGCUUGACGAUUUUUCAAUGUCAUGAACACUCGUACUCUUGAUAGUUUUUAAAAGUCAUAAACACUUAUAUUCUUAACAGAUUUUAAAUGUCAUGAACACUCAUAUUCUUGACGGUUUUUAGCUGUCAUGAAAAUUUGUAUACUUAAUGUUUAUAAAACGUCAACGUUCACUACUCUUGACGUUUUUAUCAAUCAUCAAGAACUUCGACUUUCUUGAUGUUGACUUCAGUAACGGUUUUAAAACCAUCAAGAAUAAUAAUUUUUACACUUUAAAAACGUCACGAUAGUCUAUUUUUGUAGCAGUGAUAAUAACCAAAAACAUUUAUUGAAAAUUUCAUAUUAAAAAAAAAUCAAGAAACACAAAUUCUUUAUAAAAUAGAUUUGUUACAUAUUUCAUAAUGAAUUGAUUGUGAGAUUGAACCCAUGCUAUCUAAUAUCAAAGCUCACAAAAUCUAAAAAGCAUAUUUAGUACAAUAAAAAUAAAUUUGAGAAUAUGAGAUUGGUGAAUCAUGAUAGGCAACAUCUUGAUGGAGUAUGUUGAGAAUUUGACGCAAGGUAAAAACCAAGGAACUCAUAGCAUGUAUAAGAUAGACGGACUAAUCUUUUUAUUACCAAUUUGUUGUGAAAUGAAUCAUACUAUCAACUGAGCUUGUAAACAGAGGCCUAGAAUGGAGGUGGUGGAAAUGCAGGCAUGGGGCACCUUGGCCAAGGUUUUUGACUAGACACUGGAUCUUUAAAUUGUUUUUCAGGUUCUUUGAGGCAGUUGUAUUUACGCUCAGGAUUUAUAUGGCGGAGUAGUUUUCGGGAAGAUCUGUUCGACCAUGACCAUGGUGAGGGAGAGACAUGGUGACUGAAGAAGAGGAUUAUUGGAUGAUGAAGCGGCAGCAAAGGAGAAGAAGAGAGAAGGUAGUCGUAACGUUCGUCGGCGGAGGCUCUCCAAGGUGAGGUUGGAGAAAUUACAGCCACGACCAAAAUGGCAAAAACGAAGUGUGCUGCCAUCGGAAGUUUUUGUUAAGUGUUUUCUGACUCUGAAUUAAAUAGCAUUUGGUUUUAAUACCUGGCAAAAUUGUUUUUGUUUUUUCAUGCUAUAUUCUUUCAGAUGUGAUUGACAUUAAAUUAUGAGUUUACUAUUUGAUUGACACAUUUAAAUGGGGUCUUUUAAAAAACAUAUAAUAGAACGACCA
rnacentral:lncRNA from 1 species